rnacentral:rRNA from 1 species
CAACCCUGAUCCAGCCAUGCCGCGUGAGUGAAGAAGGCCUUCGGGUUGUAAAGCUCUUUCGGCCGGGAAGAAAUCGCACAGGCCAAUACCCUGUGUGGAUGACGGUACCGGAAUAAGAAGCACCGGCUAACUACGUGCCAGCAGCCGCGGUAAUACGUAGGGUGCGAGCGUUAAUCGGAAUUACUGGGCGUAAAGCGUGCGCAGGCGGUUUUGUAAGACAGGCGUGAAAUCCCCGGGCUCAACCUGGGAACUGCGCUUGUGACUGCAAGGCUAGAGUACGGCAGAGGGGGGUGGAAUUCCACGUGUAGCAGUGAAAUGCGUAGAGAUGUGGAGGAACACCAAUGGCGAAGGCAGCCCCCUGGGUCGAUACUGACGCUCAUGCACGAAAGCGUGGGUAGCAAACAGGAUUAGAUACCCUGGUAGUCCACGCCCUAAACGAUGUCAACUAGGUGUUGGGUGGGUAAAACCAUUUAGUACCGGAGCUAACGCGUGAAGUUGACCGCCUGGGGAGUACGGCCGCAAGGUUAAAACUCAAAGGAAUUGACGGGGACCCGCACAAGCGGUGGAUGAUGUGGAUUAAUUCGAUGCAACGCGAAAAACCUUACCUACCCUUGACAUGUCAGGAAGUCUCGAGAGAUUGAGAUGUGCCCGAAAGGGAGCCUGAACACAGGUGCUGCAUGGCUGUCGUCAGCUCGUGUCGUGAGAUGUUGGGUUAAGUCCCGCAACGAGCGCAACCCUUGUCGUUAAUUGCCAUCAUUCAGUUGGGCACUUUAACGAGACUGCCGGUGACAAACCGGAGGAAGGUGGGGAUGACGUCAAGUCCUCAUGGCCCUUAUGGGUAGGGCUUCACACGUCAUACAAUGGUCGGUACAAAGGGUUGCCAAGCCGCGAGGUGGAGCCAAUCCCAGAAAGCCGAUCGUAGUCCGGAUUGCAGGCUGCAACUCGCCUGCAUGAAGUCGGAAUCGCUAGUAAUCGUGGAUCAGCAUGUCACGGUGAAUACGUUCCCGGGUCUUGUACACACCGCCCGUCACACCAUGGGAGCGGGUUCCGCCAGAAGUAGGUAGCCUAACCGCAAGGGGGGCGCUUACCACGGCGGGGUUCGUGACUGGGGUGAAGUCGUAACAAGGUAGC